AUACGUAGGGGGCGAGCGUUGUCCGGAAUGAUUGGGCGUAAAGGGCGCGUAGGCGGCCCGGUAAGUCUGGAGUGAAAGUCCUGUUUUUAAGAUGGGAAUUGCUUUGGAUACUGUCGGGCUUGAGUGCAGGAGAGGUAAGCGGAAUUCCCAGUGUAGCGGUGAAAUGCGUAGAGAUUGGGAGGAACACCAGUGGCGAAGGCGACUUACUGGACUGUAACUGACGCUGAGGCGCGAAAGUGUGGGGAGCAAACAGGAUUAGAUACCCUGGUAGUCCACACUGUAAACGAUGAAUGCUAGGUGUAGGGGGUAUCGACCCCUUCUGUGCCGCAGUCAACACAAUAAGCAUUCCGCCUGGGGAGUACGGCCGCAAGGUUGAAACUCAAAGGAAUUGACGGGG
rnacentral:rRNA from 1 species